AGCAUUGUGCAGCGGCAAUAUCGUAGCCAAUGAGGUUUAUCUGAGGCAUGAUCAUUGGUAAUUGAAAACUGUUCCCAAUAAAGUAAAAUGCUUAACACCCUAGGAGGUGUUAAGAAGAACUUGAAAGAACUGGGCAGGAAAGUG